CCACUGUCCACCAGACUUUGAUCAUUCUUGCAAGAGAUUUCAUCCACGGUGACCAGGAUAUAUCACUAUUUGAGAAGCGGCACUUGACUUCAGAACACACAUUUCCUAUUGAAGGACUAUCGAUAGCGCUGGUGACUUUGGGUGUAUUUGUAAAGUGUAACUAUUGCUGUUGAUUGGGUCAGCAGAAGUUUUCUUUUGCAGGGGAUAAACACACACAAGUCUGCUGUGUCACUACUAAUGAAAUAACAUGCUUUAGCGAAUUACAAUUAGCGCUGCGGAAUCUGUUGGCGCUCUACAAAUAACCAAUAAUAAUAAUAAUAAUUACAGUGA